rnacentral:lncRNA from 1 species
AGUUAACCUAAGAUACCCUGGAAAGCAGGGAGAGGUUGUGACUCAGGUAUGGGGUGAGUCAAACGUGUUGCCCACAGUGUUGACACCCUAGGGUGAGACUUCUAUUUCUCUGCCUUUCUUUCCAAAGCUCCAGGGUCAGCCUGGAUACCCCCCUGAUGAGGGGUCCCCGUCCUGAUCUUCACAGGCUCCAAGAUGGGUUGUUUGUGGGAUUACUACAUGCUGGGUACUUUCUGGUGGCGGGCCCUGUGCUGAGUCCAAAGAUGGCAUCCAGAGAGGAAUAAGGAGCAGCCCUGACCUCAAGAAACUCAACACCUUGCCCAGAAGCCAGGCAAGGAUGGUGACUGGCCAGCAUGCUGCGG